rnacentral:lncRNA from 1 species
GUUCCUCAUUUUAUAAGUAAUGUUUAAGAGCAAUGACCCACUCCUACUUUCAGCAAAGAGGUGCACAUAGCAUAGACCCAUAGAAGAGGAAGGAUCUGAGAAGGAGUUUGAAAAAAGUGUAGGAGAGGCUGCGAGAAAACAAGGCAGGUGUCCUGGCUGAGGGCAGGAAGGAGACAUUGCGAUGGAAAUUGUGCCCCAUUUUCUUGGAGGAUUGGGAAGAGGACCUGUGGACUGGGCGGCCCACACAACUGCUGUAACCUCAGGCAGUUUUCAAGCAGAUUGACCUUCCUGCUGGAACACGGCACAUGAGGUGAAGUUCUCCUCUACCCAGGAGAAAAUGAACAGCUGGACAAUGCUCCUGGUCAGUAGGCCUGAAGGAUGCUGGGAUGCAGCCCUCAAGAUGGAACAGCCAGGAUGCCAAGUAUCCCUCUUGCCCAGAUCCUAAGGCACUUUUUCUACUGAUCCAUAUUGGCCUCAGGAGAUGUCUCAACACAGCACCCCAGCCAAUGGAGCUGCCACAUAAGAUGAACUCUUGAUCAUCUCUAAACUAGAGAGUUAAACUCAACA